rnacentral:rRNA from 1 species
UACGUAGGGUCCGAGCGUUGUCCGGAAUUAUUGGGCGUAAAGGGCUCGUAGGCGGUUUGUCGCGUCGGGGGUGAAAACACGGGGCUUAACCCCGUGCCUGCUUCCGAUACGGGCAGACUAGAGGUAUGCAGGGGAGAACGGAAUUCCUGGUGUAGCGGUGAAAUGCGCAGAUAUCAGGAGGAACACCGGUGGCGAAGGCGGUUCUCUGGGCAUUACCUGACGCUGAGGAGCGAAAGUGUGGGGAGCGAACAGG